rnacentral:rRNA from 1 species
AGGACGAACGCUGGCGGCGUGCUUAACACAUGCAAGUCGAGCGGAAAGGCCCUUCGGGGUACUCGAGCGGCGAACGGGUGAGUAACACGUGAGCAACCUGCCCCUGGCUCUGGGAUAGCCUCCGGAAACGGGGAUUAAUACCGGACAUUCACUGCCUGCCGCAUGGUGGGUGGUGGAAAGUUUUUCGGCCAGGGAGGGGCUCGCGGUCUAUCAGCUUGUUGGCGGGGUAACGGCCCACCAAGGCGACGACGGAUAGCCGGCCUGAGAGGGCGAUCGGCCACACUGGGACUGAGACACGGCCCAGACUCCUACGGGAGGCAGCAGUGGGGAAUAUUGCACAAUGGGCGCAAGCCUGAUGCAGCGACGCCGCGUGGGGAUGAAGGCCUUCGGGUUGUAAACCCUUUCACCAGGAGCGAAUUCAGACGGUACCUGGGAAGAAGCGCCGGCUAACUACGUGCCAGCAGCCGC